rnacentral:lncRNA from 1 species
AACAAUUUCUGAAAACACAUUUGGGCAUUAGGGGAUUAAAAUGGGGAGUUUUGGGUGAAAAUGGGUUGGAACCCGUAACUUUUUCUGGAAAAAUAUGCAUGGUCGCUUAAGCGAGCUCCUAAGCGAACACUCAUAGUGUUUUUUGGGUAUUGGUCGCUUAAACGAGCUGCGAGCGAGCGGGAAAGCGUACAUUUCUGUAGCUUCUGUAACUCGUUCGCUUAAGCGAACCAGGUGGUCGCUUAAGCGAGCUGCAAGCGAGCUGGGAAGCGUAUAUUUCUGUAGCUUCUGUAACUCGUUUGCUUAAGCGAACCAGGUGGUCGCUUAAGCGAGCAAUUCAUUUUCCAGCACUUUGAAUUUUUGGUUCCGAGCUUCCUAGGGCCAAUCCGAACUUCUUUAAACACUUUUUUUAACUUGUAUAAUCACUGUUUGUACAAUUAAUCCUACUGGAACAUCUCCUUGAAUGAGAUUUGGACUUGUUUUGUGAAAUUGAAUCAAACUUUGAAAAUUGUCCAAGAACGUUGAAUUUUUCGGAAAUUGGAUCUUCAAGGAAAUGAAAUGGGAUUAAGAUAGUACAAUGAUUAUAUGAUUACUGAAAAUGGUUGUGAUUGGUUUCCUUGAGUCUUAAUUGGUUUGGGUUUUGAAAAUGGGAAUUCUUGGUAAAUGUCAAGAGAGACGAACAUUGAUGAAAAUAUCCUUUUAAGCCAAUCACCUUACGAAUCUUUCUUGUUUAGUUUUGUAUGACUAAAUGGAGAUGUAUGAAUGAAUUACGAGAUGUUGUAUGUUUUCUUACUUGGUAUGUGAGAAAUAUUGUAAUGAUGUGAUUACAUAAUGUUGAAGAUGUUGAAAUGAUAUUGAUGAUCAUUGUAGUUGUUGUGAUGACACUUGAUUGAUAUGUGCUAUGUUGAUUUGUGUGGACGUAAUUACUUGAUAAUGCAAUUGUUGUUGGAGUUGUGCAAUGUAAUUGGA